rnacentral:misc_RNA from 1 species
UGAAAAUGCCAUUUUGCAUUAAAAAGCCCGCAAGGACCAACAUUACAAUAUGGGUUUUAAACACUAUAGAGAAAAGGGAGACCCACACUGAGAUAGCAACCAGCCCAAAUACAAUAAAUCAAACCAAGAAUCCAUACCCAUAACAGGAUAACCCAGCCCCACCUAGAAACUCUAAGAGAACAAGGAAAACAAGGUUGCCGACCACUGCCACAAUUGUUAUCACUAACAUCAAUGAGCAGAUUGUGUUUGCAAAAGCCAACAUCACAAGGAGCAAUAAAUCUUUUAUCUGCUCACGUCACCUUAUCAAAACAACAUACCUAUCUUCCUCAACAGGGACUUGAAGCUCUGCUAAACAACAAUGAGAGGGCACCGCGACAGAGCUCUGGCAUACAAGCCAAAAGGAUGGCCUUCCCAGCCAUGGUGUAGAAGCAAAUCUCAGAGAUACAAGACAGCCGACGCAAAUGAACCCUCUCACCAUGCACAGCAACCCAUCAAGGCUAAAAAGAUGGUAAAGACUCUUCAACAGGAGCAAACUCAUCCUCUAGGAGACCAUCUACCAUCAUCUUCUUGUCCAUCACAAACCAAUUGAACCCAACACUCCAAGUUUCAAAUGAUGCCUUCUCAUUGAAGAACAAACCUGCAUGCAAAGACCCACAAACACCAAUUACAAAACCCAUUUACAAACUAACUCAAUUAGGGGAGGGCUUUCCCACAACAUUAAACUAAAACCAAAAGCUUACGGAGGAAAACAAGAAGAGAUGGACAAAGCUAGGGGAACCCUAGAGAAACGACAAACUAAAUAUUUCUGAAUUUGAAAGAAAAAGAAAAUGCACGCCUCUUGUCCUGUGAGAAGUUUAUGGUAGCUAGUGAAGCAGUGUUAUUAAAUUCAGCUUUGGGGAAGCA